rnacentral:rRNA from 1 species
GACGAACGCUGGCGGCGUGCUUAACACAUGCAAGUCGAACGGAGUGGCGGACGGGUGAGUAAUGCUUGGGAAUCUGGCUUAUGGAGGGGGAAAACGAAGGGAAACUUUCGCUAAUCAAAAGGAUGAGCACAAGUGGGCUUAGGUUGUUGGUGGGGUAAUGGCGUACCAAGCCGACGAUCUCUAGCUGGUCUGAGAGGAUGACCAGCCACAACGGGACUGAGACACGGCCCAGACUCCUACGGGAGGCAGCAGGGGGUAAUCUUCCGCAAUGGACGAAAGUCUGACGGAGCAACGCCGCGUGAGUGAUGACGGCCUUCGGGUUGUAAAGCUCUGUUAAGCGGGACGCGGUACCGGAAUAGAAAGCCACGGCUAACUACGUGCCAGCAGCCGCGGUAAUUC